rnacentral:rRNA from 1 species
AGGUGAUCUGCGGAAGGACAUUG